rnacentral:miRNA from 1 species
AGGUGAGAUGACUGCUUAAGCUUAGGAGGUUGAGGCUGCAGUGAGCUGUGAUCACACCACUGCACUCCAGCCUGAGUGACAGAGCAAGAGCUUGUC